rnacentral:rRNA from 1 species
AUUGAACGCUGGCGGCAUGCUUUACACAUGCAAGUCGAACGGUAACAGGGAGCUUGCUCCGCUGACGAGUGGCGAACGGGUGAGUAAUGCGUCGGAACGUGCCGAGUAGUGGGGGAUAACGCAUCGAAAGGUGUGCUAAUACCGCAUACGAACUGAGGUUGAAAGUGGGGGACCUUCGGGCCUCACGCUAUUCGAGCGGCCGACGUCUGAUUAGCUAGUUGGUGAGGUAAAGGCUCACAAAGGCGACGAUCAGUAGCGGGUCUGAGAGGAUGAUCCGCCACACUGGGACUGAGACACGGCCCAGACUCCUACGGGAGGCAGCAGUGGGGAAUUUUGGACAAUGGGCGCAAGCCUGAUCCAGCAAUGCCGCGUGAAGGAUGAAGGCCUUCGGGUUGUAAACUGCUUUUGUACGGAACGAAAAGCCCUGGGUUAAUACCCUGGGGUCAUGACGGUACCGUAAGAAUAAGCACCGGCUAACUACGUGCCAGCAGCCGCCGUAAAAC